rnacentral:rRNA from 1 species
UUUAAUUGAAGAGUUUGAUCAUGGCUCAGAUUGAACGCUGGCGGCAGGCCUAACACAUGCAAGUCGAGCGGCAGCGACAACAUUGACCCUUCGGGUGAUUUGUUGGGCGGCGAGCGGCGGACGGGUGAGUAAUGCCUG